ACACGUGAUCAUUGGUCGGUUGGAAAUCAUUUCCGGUCUUUGUAGACUCGGUCAUUUCUAUCGACAUCUUAAUACAGUUUGGUCGUUGCUUCAAGCGGAGUCUGAGGUAACGAUCUAACAAAAUGGUUAACGGACGAAUUCCAUCGGUCUUCUCAAAGACCUACGUAACACCUAGGCGUCCUUAUGAAAAGGCACGUUUAGAUCAAGAGUUAAGAAUUAUCGGUGAAUAUGGUCUUCGUAACAAACGUGAGGUAUGGAGAGUCAAGUACACUUUGGCUAAAAUUCGUAAAGCUGCUCGAGAACUUCUUACGCUCGAAGAAAAAGAUCCUAAACGUCUCUUCGAAGGUAACGCAUUGUUGCGACGUUUAGUAAGAAUCGGUGUGUUGGAUGAGGGUCACAUGAAACUCGAUUACGUUCUUGGCUUGAAAAUCGAAGAUUUUUUGGAAAGACGUCUUCAAACUCAAGUAUUUAAAUUGGGUCUUGCUAAGUCGAUUCAUCAUGCUAGAGUUUUGAUUCGUCAACGCCACAUUCGAUGCCAGGACAGUUUACCUGGUUGAUCAACUGAUUUGACCAUUUAUCUUAAAACUUGACUUCAAUCGAAUGGAAUUAAAAAAUAUUUGAAGCUACUUUAUUUCACACAGGCCACUUAAACGUUAAUGUUUAAUUAACGUUUAACGUCUGUUGAUAUUGGAGCAUUCGUCAUCCUUAUUCGGGUGCGUAAACAGGUGGUGAACAUCCCAUCUUUCAUUGUGCGAUUAGAUUCGCAAAAGCAUAUUGACUUCUCUCUGAAGUCACCGUUCGGAAGUGGCAGACCUGGUCGUGUAAAGAGGAAGAACUUGCGUAAGGGCUCUGGUGGUGCUGCCCCUGAGGAAGAAGAAGAUUAAGUAAAAAAUGUGAUUGAAUAAAAAAUAUCAUCUAAUAUUAUACAUCGUUCAAAUGUUUAGUUCAAGAA